UACGUAGGGGGCGAGCGUUGUCCGGAAUUAUUGGGCGUAAAGAGCUCGUAGGCGGUCUGUCGCGUCGGAUGUGAAAACCCGGGGCUUAACCCCGGGCCUGCAUUCGAUACGGGCAGACUCGAGUGUGGUAGGGGAGACUGGAACUCCUGGUGUAGCGGUGAAAUGCGCAGAUAUCAGGAAGAACACCGGUGGCGAAGGCGGGUCUCUGGGCCACUACUGACGCUGAGGAGCGAAAGCGUGGGGAGCGAACAGG
rnacentral:rRNA from 1 species